rnacentral:rRNA from 1 species
UACGUAGGGGGCAAGCGUUGUCCGGAUUUAUUGGGCGUAAAGAGCGUGUAGGCGGCUUGGUAGGUCCGCUGUGAAAACUCGAGGCUCAACCUCGAGAUGUCGGCGGAAACCACUUGGCUAGAGUCCGGAAGAGGAGAGUGGAAUUCCUGGUGUAGCGGUGAAAUGCGCAGAUAUCAGGAAGAACACCUAUGGCGAAGGGCAGCUCUCUGGGACGGUACUGACGCUGAGACGCGAAAAGCGUGGGGAGCGAACAGG